CCUUCAGUCUAGGACUCAUUU
rnacentral:miRNA from 1 species